ACUGCGACUUGGACCAAAAGUGACGAAGAAAAGCAUUCCAGCACUCGUCAACACGAAGAUAUACUGUGCAACACCACGUUCUGCGCAGCGGAAGGCAAGCCUAAAAAAUGAGACGCUUUAAAUUUUUUUCACUGUGUAUAGAAAACUGUUUGCAUCGCUACACAAUAACACAUUGGUACCUCUAAGUAAGUCAAAUAAAAGAUCGAAUGAAAUGU